rnacentral:SRP_RNA from 1 species
UGGCAGAGGAGAUGGCGCUACGUGAGGCUGGUGAAGCUGAGCAGCGUGCACAGAUUGCUUCU